CUUUGAAAUCAAUAUUUUUUGUUUGGCAUACGUUUAAAAACUCUGACUCUCWGCGCAAAUCCGUUGCCCGUUCGCAAAGCAACAACCAGGAACAGAACUGCCUCAGGGCAGAAAAAAAGCAAGGUGAUUGGGGUGGAGUCGACACGACCUACUGUACAGUCACAGACUCCAGUGGACUAGCUACUCACAAGUUUAGCAUUUUGCCCUUCCCCUCUUUGGUUUGGACAAUUGAAGGAAUCCCUGAAAAAUUGAGUUUGAAACGUCUCUAUCUAUUAUUUUGGAUACAUCAACGCCUUGCUACUUGUAACAACACAGCCGCAGCAUGGGGGCACCAGCGACAGCGUACGACGAGAAGAAGGAAACAUGCGGAACCGUCUGUCUGAAGUACCUCCUAUUCACAUUCAACUUCCUCUUCUGGACCAACACAACACCACCAGGCAUUCCAUCCCACGUUCCUUAUCGCACAACUGUUACCCAGCCCGCUAGACUGAACAGCUAGUCAGCCACACUGGGGGGAAUCCACUGGGAAAUUGAGAAUCCAUCGGGAAAUUGAGAAUUCUACUAGUUAUGAUUCUGUUCCUUUACAAUUUUGUCAGUGUCAAGAUAACAUUAUGUCGGGGCGAUGUUUAAGUUAGCAGCAGCUACUGUAUUUCUUCCUCUGUAAAAUCUUAUUUAAUAUAUCUAAUGCAGUGCCUUCAGACAGUAUUCACACUCCUUGAUUGCCAAAGUGGAAUUAUGAUA